UAUUUAAUUAAUUUUAUUAGUAGUUAUAUAUUUAUUUUAAAGAUUAAGCUAUAUAUAUUUAAAUUUAAGUAAUUAAAUUAUAAAACUACGAAUAAUUUAUUAAAUUAAUUAUAAUUUAUUUAAUAGUACCUUAUUAUAUAAAUAACUAUAGUAAUUCUAGAGCUAAUAUAUAUUAAAAACCCCGAUUUCAGAAGGGGUGUAUUUAUUAAAUUAAAAAUUAAUACCCUUCGGGGCUAAUUGGUAAUUUAUAAUAAUUUUUUAAAUUGUAUAAUUUUGCAUUAGCGAUAGUUUAUUUAAAUUUCUACCCUAUUAAUUUUCAACGGUUGGGUUUUAGCUAAUUAUAGUAAUAAUAGGUAAUAGAGGGUUAGGGCUCGACCCUAGAGAAGGAGUUUGAGAAAUAGUUAUUAUAUUUAAGGAAGGUAGUAAGCGCGUAAAUUACCUAAUUCCGAUACGGGGAGGUAGUAAUAAUAAAUAUUGAUAUAGGGCUCUUUUAGGUUUUAUAAUUGGAAUAAAUAUAAUUUAAAUCCCUUAAUAAGGAAUAAUUGGAAGGUAAGUCUAGUACUAGCAACCGUAGUAAUUUUAAUUCUAAUAGUAUAUAUUAAAAUUAUUGAGGUUAAAAAACUUAUAAUUAAACUUUAAGCUCGGUCUAUCGGUCUACCUUACUACGUAUAUUAAUUAGGUCGGGCCUUUUUUCUUAGAGAACUGUAUACCCUUUAUUAGGUAUAUUAGGGAAUUAGGACUUUUACUAUAAAUAAAUUAGAUUAUUUAAAGAAGGCCUAUAUUCGAAUAUAUUAAUAUAGAAUAAUAGAAUAGGACGUAUAGUUCUAUUUUAUUAGUUUCUAGGACUACUAUAAUAAUUAAUAGGGAUAGUCGGGAGUAUUAGUAUUUAAUUAUUAGAGGUGAAAUUCUUGGAUUUAUUGAAGAUUAAUUAUUGUAAAAGUAUUUACUAAGGAUGUUUUUAUUAAUUAGGAAUGAAAGUUAGGGGAUUGAAGACAAUUAAAUAUUAUUAUAAUUUUAAUUAUAAAUUAUAUUAAUUAAGGAUUGGACGGUAUUAUUUUUUAACCCGUUCGGUACUUUACAAUAAAUUAAAAUAUUUAGGCUCUUAGGGGAGUAUAGUUGUAAGGUUGAAAUUUAAAGAAAUUGACGGAAGGGUACUACUAGGGGUAGAGCUUACGGUUUAAUUUGAUUUAAUAUAAGGAAAUUCACUAGGUUUAAAUAUAAUAAGGAUUAAUAAAUUGAGAAUUCUUUUUUAAUUUCGUAAGUAGUAAUAUAUAGUUAUUCUUAAUUAGUAGAGUAAUUUAUUUAUUUAAUUGCAAUAACGAAUAAAAUUUUAAUUUACUAAAUAAUUUAUAUUAUUUUAGUAGUAUACUAACUUUUUAAAGGGAUUAUCGGUUUAAACUAAUAGAAGUUUAAGGUAAUAAUAAGUUUAUAAUGCCCUUAGAUAUUCUAGGCUGUACGCGUACUAUAUUAAUAUAGUUAGUAAAUACUCCCUUAGCCGGAAAGUCCGGGUAAUUUUAUUAAAUUAUAUUAUAUUAGGGAUAGAGUAUUAUAAUUAUUACUCUUCAAUAAAGAAUCCCUAAUAAGCGUAAGUUAUUAAUUUGCAUUAAUUACAUCCCUACCCUUUAUAUAUACCGCCCAUUACUACUAUUAAUUAAAUAGUUUAGUAAAGCUUCCGGAUUAGCCUAGGGAGGUUAGUAACGACUACUUAAGGCCAGAAAACUAUUUAAAUUUAAUUAUUUAGAGGAAGUAAAAAUUAUAAUAAGGUUUCCGUUAGUAAACUAGCGGAGGGAUUAUUA
rfam:Neurospora crassa OR74A unplaced genomic scaffold supercont12.9, whole genome shotgun sequence.